AGUGAACGCUGGCGGUAGGCCUAACACAUGCAAGUCGAACGGCAGCACAGUAAGAGCUUGCUCUUACGGGUGGCGAGUGGCGGACGGGUGAGGAAUACAUCGGAAUCUACUUUUUCGUGGGGGAUAACGUAGGGAAACUUACGCUAAUACCGCAUACGACCUACGGGUGAAAGCAGGGGAUCUUCGGACCUUGCGCGAUUGAAUGAGCCGAUGUCGGAUUAGCUAGUUGGCGGGGUAAAGGCCAACCAAGGCGACGAUCCGUAGCUGGUCUGAGAGGAUGAUCAGCCACACUGGAACUGAGACACGGUCCAGACGACUACGGGAGGCAGCAGUGGGGAAUAGUGGACAAUGGGCGCAAGCCUGAUCCAGCCAUACCGCGUGGGUGAAGAAGGCCUUCGGGUUGUAAAGCCCUUUUGUUGGGAAAGAAAAGCAGCAGGUUAAUACCCCGCUGUUCUGACGGUACCCAAAGAAUAAGCACCGGCUAACUUCGUG
rnacentral:rRNA from 1 species